UACGUAGGGACCAAGCGUUGUUCGGAUUUACUGGGCGUAAAGGGCGCGUAGGCGGCGCGGUAAGUCACUUGUGAAAUCUCUGAGCUUAACUCAGAACGGCCAAGUGAUACUGCAGUGCUAGAGUGUGGAAGGGGCAAUCGGAAUUCUUGGUGUAGCGGUGAAAUGCGUAGAUAUCUGGAGGAACACCGGUGGCGAAGGCGGCAUCCUGGACCAUUACUGACGCUGAGGCGCGAAAGCUAGGGGAGCAAACGGG
rnacentral:rRNA from 1 species